ensembl:lncRNA
UAUUUGAAGGGGAGAAGAAGGGCGUUGGAGAGUUCCUCAGAGAGAAAAAAACCAAACAAAAAAACGCAUCUAUUUUUGAGCCAAUCAAAUAGACGCAGCAGGAUCGACCUUCUCACUUUCAACAUAUUUUUCUUCCGGCUAUAGGUUACUCCUUACAUUGUUGCAUGUUGAUUACUGCGAUGAAGGACAGAGAUGAUAACCUGAAAAUGAAUUUUAGUUUGCAGAGAAUAACAACAGAUUGACUGCAGCGUGGAAUUUGUCUUUUGUAAACGAUGUACCUGAAGCGUAUUCUCGUUGCCACGACUAUUGGCUUCUUGUGGUAUUUUUCAGAUUACGGAGAAGUUACUCUCCAGUUAGGCGUGUUGAUAUGCGUUCUUUUGUCACUUAAAUUCUUCAAAAGGUCUGUUGAAUGUAGUACACAGACCGAUGAGUUGGCUGAAAGUCCACCAUGCCAGGGAAAAAAUGAGGAGAAAAUAUGCAGUUGUGAUGGGAGCAGUAUAACUAGUUCCAAGGAGGAAUCACUGCACGGCACACAAUAUUUCAAUGUUAAGAGAUCUCUUCAACAAGUGUUUGAGUGUGCAUACAGCCAGACAGUCGUUCCUUGGUACAUUGUGCCUGAGCCCACUACCAGCCAACCUCUCCACGGAGCACUCAAGACCGAGUUUGACCUGUUUGUGGAUCGGCUUAUCAGAAGGACACGAGAAUUUGACCUUUGUGCUGCCAGUGUGGGCCUUAUUCGCAUCCUCACCCAACAUCUGCAUAAUGCAAAGCAGUCUAAAGGAACACCAUGUUUCAGCUCCAGAGCAGAGGAGAUGGCAGUCCUCCGGGUGUUUUCUGAGGCCCUUGUGCGGAAUCUCCUCCCGGAAACCCUUUGGGACCUUGAACUCUACCGCUGUAUUUUAAAUGAAGUAGUUGCUGUGAAAGUGUUAGACCUGCUAGUGACUUGGCUCUCCGACCCGGACAAUCUUAACCAGCUGGUGGUGAGUCAGCUGGAUGAAGUGGCGUUCAAGAGAUCGGUGGAUGACCUGUGCGAGUCUGAGAGAGAGGACAGAGCCUCCUCCCCAGAGACUGAAGAUGCGGGAGCCUCAGCAGAUGAUGCAGAGGAUGUCAGCAGAAAGAAAAAGAAACACGGUAAGAAAUUAAAAGAGGGAUGGUCAAAAUUUCUCGAUAAAAUGAAGUCAAAGAAGGCCAAAAAGAAGGAACUGAAGAAGAAGGAGAGGGAGCUCAUGUUAAGGGCCUUGGCGGACCAGAGCCCAGCUUCCUAUGCCAGGGAUUGUGGAGCCGGCAGCAGCACAGAGGGCUCCGUCAAAAGUCAAACGGACUCCGAUAGUGAAGAGGACAUGGACCUGGAGGCCUACCUCACAGGUGUUCAGGAGGACAUGAUGGAGUUUAAGUUGUCUUAUGAAAUGUGGAGAGUGGGGAACUGGAUUGUCACAGUCAAUAAUGUUCAGCGAGAGAGUGAGGAGUUAUGCUUUGCAGUUCAUCUUGAAGAGAGAGACAACACUGACAAUCUUCAGUGGGAUGUGAUUAAGACACAAACGGACCUCCUCCAUUUCCAUAGCCAAUGGCAGGACCUGUCAAGUCUACCAUCAAUUUCUGCAGUAGUUGAUGACAAAGGGAGGGAUCUGGAUGAAGAAUUUAAAGUGGAAGCUAAGGCCAUUUUGCAGAAUUUUCUUCAGGAACUGGUCUCAAAUUCAGAGUUUGGCCACAGCCAGCCCGUGUUUCAGUUCCUGUGUCCAUUGGACAAGCUAUUGAGUGAAGAAGAACCUUGUGGAGGAGUGUGGGGUCUUCUCAGUGGCAUUGCCUACUUCCUGACUCCUGCACAGGAGGAAGAGGAGAGCAAUAGCCCCGUUGCAGUGGUUAACUCAGAGGCUGUGAAGACUACGGCCUUGAUGCAUGAGCCAGAGGUUGCCCAGCUGACUACAGUGAAUAACCAGGGAGAACACGCUGAAGGAGAUGCUAUGGAACCUCAUCACACAGUCCUCCAAAGUGUUUCUGACACUGCUUCCAACGAUACCAAUGGGGCUGAGGAGAGUGAACCUGCACUGACCAAUGAUGACAGAUCUGAGGGGUUAGAGGAUCCCAGUGAUCAAUCUGGAGCCAUAAUCAGUGGGCUUUCCAGUAUUGCUGAAAGUUUUGAUGAAUUUCUGGCCAAAGCUAGAUCUGUGAUUCCCAAAGUGCAUUAUACAAUAUUCGAUCAAAAUUCAGACUCAGUGUUCAAUGAUUCUUGGCCGCAUCUGAUGAACAAAACAAGUAAAAGGGACACACUUUUACACAGAAUGUCUGCUGUGAGGCACAAGAGCAAAGGUGGCUUGACAAAGGUGGAUUUGCAUACCCAGACCGAUUUGGAGAAAAACACUAACCAGUCUUGGGAACAUCUGGAAGCUACUAAGGCAAUAUUUGAGUUGCUAAAAGAAAUAUCUGGUAAUUCAUUCAUCCUCAACAUAUUUGAUGCUAUUCUCAAACCCGUCAUGCCUUUGGUGAAGAAGAAAGUGAAUAGCUUCUUGGACAAAAUGAACGCCACAGAAGCACAAGUGGCAUCCUACAUUGACACUGCUCGGGAGAAGCAGUGGCCUGAUGGUGCUGCUGGGGUGCAGAGACCUCAAAGGCGUCCAGAGGAGAAGACAGAGACAAGAGAACGAGCUCAACAGCUCAUCAAUACCAGAUAUUCAAACUACCUGAUACUCAAGAAGACUGAUGUGGAAACAGUGUUUAAGAUCUUCCAAGAGACAGAAGAGAACAAGAAACUGGUUUAUAUGCUGCUUUCAUUCCUGUUGCAUGAAUUCUUGCCUGGAGAACCUGCUCUGGACGUAAUGGCUCAGCUAUAUGUGAAAGACAUCAUUUGA